rnacentral:rRNA from 1 species
UACGUAGGUGACCAGCGUUGUCCGGAUUUACUGGGCGUAAAGAGCGCGCAGGCGGUCGUUCAAGUCGAGUGUGAAAGCCCCCGGCUCAACUGGGGAGGGUCACUCGAUACUGAUCGACUUGAAGGCAGGAGAGGCAAGCGGUACUCGAUGGGUAGGGGUAAAAUCCGUUGAUCCAUUGAAGACCACCAGUGGCGAAGGCGGCUUGCCAGAACGCGCUCGACGGUGAGGGAUGAAAGCUGGGGGGAGCAAACCGG